CCUACGGGGGGCUGCAGUGGGGAAUAUUGGACAAUGGGGGGAACCCUGAUCCAGCCAUGCCGCGUGUGUGAAGAAGGCCCUCGGGUUGUAAAGCACUUUCAGUGAGGAAGAACGCCUGGUGGUUAAUACCCAUCAGGAAGGACAUCACUCACAGAAGAAGCACCGGCUAACUCCGUGCCAGCAGCCGCGGUAAUACGGAGGGUGCGAGCGUUAAUCGGAAUUACUGGGCGUAAAGCGCGCGUAGGUGGCUUGAUAAGCCGGUUGUGAAAGCCCCGGGCUCAACCUGGGAACGGCAUCCGGAACUGUCAAGCUAGAGUGCAGGAGAGGAAGGUAGAAUUCCCGGUGUAGCGGUGAAAUGCGUAGAGAUCGGGAGGAAUACCAGUGGCGAAGGCGGCCUUCUGGACUGACACUGACACUGAGGUGCGAAAGCGUGGGUAGCAAACAGGAUUAGAUACCCGUGUAGUC
rnacentral:rRNA from 1 species